rnacentral:ncRNA from 2 species
CAAGGCACCCGUGGUGAUUUGAGCCGACCGGCUUGCGGCCACGUUAAACAACAGCGCUAAAAGGUCGGACGGGCGCCCCC